AUCAGAUCCCAUUGUCUUCGAACAUUUGUAUGUUUUUUACUAAUUGCUGUUGUUUUGUAGGGUCAUUGUCUUGGGAAACAUUUGUUGAGCCCUGAGGGUAGGGUCAAGUGUGGGGACAAAUCUGGGGCUGAUCCUGGAGUCAACGUGGGACCCUCUGAGGAAACACAGCCUCCUGGUCCAUCUCAGUGCGUUGAUGUCCAGUUGGGUGUUCCUGGAGUGGUAGUCUAUGACCAGUGGACAUCUCCCAUGAACCAGGCACCUCUUCAUUGAUUGAUUGAUUGACUGACAGAUUCAUUUAUGAUAGUAUGUCUACUGGAGACUGUAACAUGUGAUAAUAAAAGUUAACACAUAUGGUGAGUUGUCAGUUAAUAAUCGAGUGUGUCACGUGACAGGGCUGUCAAAAUGAGAACACAGUUGAACCCACCUGUUACCAACCCAGUCAGAAAGUGAUUCUACACUCAUUUCGCUCACA